rnacentral:tRNA from 2 species
GGAGAGUUGACAGAGCGGCCGAAUGUGACGGUCUUGAAAACCGUUGUGUCUUUACGGGCACCAUGGGUUCAAAUCCCAUACUCUCCGCCA